rnacentral:rRNA from 1 species
UACGAAGGGGGCGAGCGUUGUUCGGAUUUACUGGGCGUAAAGGGCGCGUAGGCGGCGCGAGAAGUCGAGUGUGAAAGCCCCGGGCUCAACCUGGGAAUUGCGCUCGAUACUCUAGUGCUUGAGUUCGGGAGAGGAGCGUGGAAUUCCCAGUGUAGAGGUGAAAUUCGUAGAUAUUGGGAAGACACCGGUGGCGAAGGCGGCGCUCUGGACCGAGACUGAC